GGGAGUGAGAGCCGUCUAGUGCCGCUACAUGAUCUUCCUGAGGCGAGUGUUGGCUCCAAUUUCAGUGAUUUGCAAGAGCGGGGUGGAUUCCUUCAGCUGGAUGAAGGUAUGGUCGCAGUUAAUCAGGUUGGAGGAGACAUAGGGCAGGCUGGGGUCAUAUUGGCAAAUGCUGGCGAGUGCCUUACACAAAAGGAUGGAACAAUUCCUCAGUUUGCCUCCUUUAGUAUUGUCGAUGAUCAGAUGGUGCUGACUGCAACUGAGGCUGGAGUAGAUGACACAGUCACACUGGAG